GGAUGUCUCUAGUCGGAUCGAUCGCAAUCGCCAGUCUGACGCCAAUUUUGGCUUUUGCCAAGACACACCGUAACCACUUCCACGAUGGUAAGUCGUCGCAGUUUUCGUCUUUUUCAAUUAAUUCCUUCAACCGUUAUUGUAGCGCCUAUUAAAUUCUUCCACUUCUUUAACCAAAUGUUUAACCAAACUGUACGAUAAUCCCUCAGACACAAACUACACUCUCAACACAAUUUACUGCUACACUCUUUGCUGUAGCGAAGGUUGUUGCACUUGGUACAUAACACUAUGUGUCUACGCUUCUUUUGUGAUAAUUCUUGUGUCGUUCUGGUUAUUGAUGGUUGAGUGUUUGCACAAAUAUAAAGGGACUGAAAAAAAUGUUUUAGUCUCUUCUGGUUCGAAGAGUCGGAACUAUGGAAGCAAUAAAAGUAACACUCAGGUGACCCUGCACAUAUUGCCCACACUUAUGCUAGCCCACGUCGUUCCCAAAAAUGCUAAACCGCAGCCAAGGAAAACAAAUUUUUAAUUUAAAAUCUAUAUUCCAGCGGUAAUUAUAUGAAUAUUUCGGAAAAGCGAUAAAAUUGUGCGCAGGAUUCAGCCGCUGCCAAUGAGUAAUAAGAUCGAUAAGUUGUCAAAAAUUUUUAAUACCUAAUAAGCAAUAAUAAAUAAAAAAUUGGUCGAAGGUUA